AGUGAACGCUGGCGGUAGGCCUAACACAUGCAAGUCGAACGGCAGCACAGUAAGAGCUUGCUCUUACGGGUGGCGAGUGGCGGACGGGUGAGGAAUACAUCGGAAUCUACUUUUUCGUGGGGGAUAACGUAGGGAAACUUACGCUAAUACCGCAUACGACCUACGGGUGAAAGCAGGGGAUCUUCGGACCUUGCGCGAUUGAAGGAGCCGAUGUCGGAUUAGCUAGUUGGCGGGGUAAAGGCCCACCAAGGCGACGAUCCGUAGCUGGUCUGAGAGGAUGAUCAGCCACACUGGAACUGAGACACGGUCCAGACUCCUACGGGAGGCAGCAGUGGGGAAUAUUGGACAAUGGGCGCAAGCCUGAUCCAGCCAUACCGCGUGGGUGAAGAAGGCCUUCGGGUUGUAAAGCCCUUUUGUUGGGGAAGAAAAGCAGCAGGUUAAUACCCCGCUGUUCUGACGGUACCCAAAGAAUAAGCACCGGCUAACUUCGUG
rnacentral:rRNA from 1 species